UGUGAGAAGCAGCUACGUGGAAGUGUGACGUGUUUAGCGCGUGAACCUGUUCACAGACUGUCUGUGUCUCCAGCCACGGCAGCAGGAAAAACACAAACUCUCCUUGUAGAAGAAGCGACUGAGGUGUUAAACGCGAAAUGCUCCCGUUUGUUGUGAACGGAGAGCGAAAAGAAACAACGACGACAGCCGGAGACAUUAGUGGUUUGUGCACCGCACGUGGACACCGUCGGUGAGAGCUUUCGUGGAGUGCCUGUCGUGCUCUCCGCCACACCCGUUCACCAGCUGUUCACUCCUCCCUGCUUGAGAGAUGAGUGCCAAGUCGGCUAUCACAAGGAAGUCUUCAUACCCCAUGAUGAGAAGAUGCUUGGAGCUGUGCAAGUGAAGCGGAGGACCAAGAAGAAAAUCCCCUUCCUGGCCACUGGUGGUCAGGGAGACUACAUGACCUUCAUCUGCAUUUCAGGUCAGCUAACA